rnacentral:rRNA from 1 species
GCGUCAGUAGGUUGGUCGUGCCACCGGUACGUACUGGUCUCACUGAUUCCUCCUUCCUGAAGAACCGUAAUGCCAUUAAUUUGGUGUUGCGGGGAAACAGGACUGUUACUUUGAAAAAAUUAGAGUGUUUAAAGCAGGCUAACGCUUGAAUACAUUAGCAUGGAAUAAUGAAAUAGGACGAUCGAUCCUAUUUUGUUGGUUUCUAGGAUUGACGUA